GGAUGCGAUCAUACCAGCACUAAAGCAACGGAUCCCAUCAGAACUCCGAAGUUAAGCGUGCGUGGGCGAGAGUAGUACUAGGAUGGGUGACCUCUUGGGAAGUCCUCAUGUUGCAUUCC
rnacentral:rRNA from 1 species